rnacentral:rRNA from 1 species
UCCUGGCUCAGAGUGAACGCUGGCGGCAGGCCUAAUACAUGCAAGUCGAACGGCAGCACAGCAGAGCUUGCUCUGUGGGUGGCGAGUGGCGGACGGGUGAGGAAUACGUGGGAAUCUGCCCAGUCGUGGGGAUAACGUAGGGAAACUUACGCUAAUACCGCAUGCGCCCUUCGGGGGAAAGCCGGGGACCUUCGGGCCUGGCGCGAUUGGAUGAGCCCACGUCGGAUUAGCUAGUUGGCGGGGUAAAGGCCCACCAAGGCGACGAUCCGUAGCUGGUCUGAGAGGAUGAUCAGCCACACUGGAACUGAGACACGGUCCAGACUCCUACGGGAGGCAGCAGUAGGGAAUAUUGGACAAUGGGCGCAAGCCUGAUCCAGCCAUGCCGCGUGAGUGAAGAAGGCCCUCGGGUUGUAAAGCUCUUUUGUCCGGAAAGAAAAGCGCCGGGUUAAUACCCUGGUGUCCUGACGGUACCGGAAGAAUAAGCACCGGCUAACUUCGUG